rnacentral:rRNA from 1 species
AUGAACGCUGGCGGCGUGCUUAACACAUGCAAGUCGAGCGAAGCACUAAAGCGGAUUUCUUCGGAUUGAAGGUUUAGUGACUGAGCGGCGGACGGGUGAGUAACGCGUGGGUAACCUGCCUCAUACAGGGGGAUAACAGUUGGAAACGGCUGCUAAUACCGCAUAAGCGCACAGUACCGCAUGGUACGGUGUGAAAAACUCCGGUGGUAUGAGAUGGACCCGCGUCUGAUUAGGUAGUUGGUGGGGUAACGGCCUACCAAGCCGACGAUCAGUAGCCGACCUGAGAGGGUGACCGGCCACAUUGGGACUGAGACACGGCCCAAACUCCUACGGGAGGCAGCAGUGGGGAAUAUUGCACAAUGGGGGAAACCCUGAUGCAGCGACGCCGCGUGAGCGAAGAAGUAUUUCGGUAUGUAAAGCUCUAUCAGCAGGGAAGA